UUUCCCCAAGUUUUGGGGUGGUUUGAGCAUCGUUUGUCCACGUUUGGGGUUGUUUAAAAAUCCUUUGUGGAAGUUUGGGGUGGUCUGAUCGUUGCUUCCCAAAGUUUUGGGGUGGUUUGAGCAUCGCUUGUCCAGAUUUGGGGUGGUUUAAAAAUCCUUUGUGGAGGUUUGGGGUGGUCUGAUCGUUGCUUCCCAAAGUUUUGGGGUGGUUUGAGCAUCGUCUGUCCAAGUUUGGGGUCAUUGAAAAGUCACUUGUCAAAAUUUGGGGUGGUUUGAUCAUUGCUUCCCAAAGUUCUGGGGUGGUUUGAGCAUCACCUGUCAAAGUUUGGGGUUGUUUAAAAAUCCUUUGUGGAGGUUUGGGGGGGUUUGAUCGUUGUUUCCCAAAGUUUUGGGGUGGUUUGAGCAUCGUCUGUCCAAGUUUGGGGUUGUUAUAAAAUCCUCUGUCAAAGUUUCCCAAAGUUUGGGGUGGUUUGAGCAUCACCUGUGAAAGUUUGGGGUUGUUUAAAAAUCCUUUGUGGAGGUUUGAGGUGGUCUGAUCGUUGCUUCCCAAAGUUUUGGGGUGGUUUGAGCAUCGUCUGUCCAAGUUUGGGGUUGUUAUAAAAUCCUCUGUCAAAGUUUCCCAAAGUUUGGGGUGGUUUGAGCAUCACCUGUGAAAGUUUGGGGUUGUUUAAAAAUCCUUUGUGGAGGU